rnacentral:lncRNA from 1 species
CAGUGCCUGAACAGUGAGAGCUUACACAAGGACUGCCUCUUCAAGCCGCUUCGUCAGUACUUGAACCAACAUCUUCAGCAAUCUCAGACAAACCACUGUUGUAUGAAGGAUGGAGGUCAGCCUUGACAGCUGUGGAGUGAAUCAUGUUUGGGUAUCCAAAAGACAAUAGGAAGAAGUGCUGAGACCAGUAUGUGGGCAACCAAUGUCAGAAAUGAACAUGGACAAGUGAUCAUGACUGUCAUGACUACAAGCGAAGGCUAUGGUCUCUCUAACAUGAUACAAGACCUUUGUGCAUGCAACCAGAAUGCCUUAGGGCCAUCUCCUUGGAUCCUGUAUAUUGAUAGGGACUGCUGUGGUGCUGCAUAUAUUGGAAAAUACUUUAAAACCUGGUCAUGCAUUACAGUGAGAUAAGUAAUUCUUUUUUAUACUUACAUAAAACCCCUUUACAAGCUUUAAAAUACUUUAAAACCUGGCCAUACCUUACAGUGAGGUAAGUAAUUCUUUUCUAUACUUACAUAAAACCCCUUUACAAGCUUUAAAAUACUUUAAAACCUGGCUAUACCUUACAAUGAGGUAAGUAGUUCUUUCUUAUACUUACACAAAACCCCUUUACAAGCUUUUUCAAUGGUUUUCAACUUCAUUUAAAUCAAAGAUUUCAGUGAAUAGUUGAAAUAAUUAUUUCUUGUGUUCUUUUCAAUGUCAUUUCUUUGGUAUGUGUAUUAUGUUGUUUGGGCUGGAGUGUGUCUGUGACAUAAUUCAUUUACUUUUCAUUUAGUGUUUGAUAAUUUUAGAUUAAAAAAUUAACCAUUUUCCUGUAUGCUGUCUGUGAAAUAUCUUUAAUACACAUACACUUUAGAAUAUUAUGAAUACAACAUCUAACAUAUAAUCACAAAUGCUUCUAUGCAGUAUUUACAGUAAUUUCCUGUGAGCAAAAAUAUCUUCUUAUA